ACGGCAGCACGGGUGCUUGCACCUGGUGGCGAGUGGCGAACGGGUGAGUAAUGUAUCGGAACGUAUCCGGAAGUGGGGGAUAGCCCGGCGAAAGCCGGAUUAAUACCGCAUAUGCCCUGAGGGGGAAAGUGGGGGACCGCAAGGCCUCAUGCUUUCGGAGUGGCCGAUAUCGGAUUAGCUAGUAGGUUAGGUAAAGGCUGACCUAGGCGACGAUCCGUAGCGGGUCUGAGAGGAUGAUCCGCCACACUGGGACUGAGACACGGCCCAGACUCCUACGGGAGGCGGCAGUGGGGAAUUUUGGACAAUGGGGGCAACCCUGAUCCAGCCAUGCCGCGUGAGUGAAGAAGGCCUUCGGGUUGUAAAGCUCUUUCGGACGGAAAGAAAUUGCCAUCUCUAACAUAGGUGGUGGAUGACGGUACCGUAAGAAGAAGCACCGGCUAACUACGUGCCAGCAGCCGCGGUAAUACGUAGGGUGCGAGCGUUAAUCGGAAUUACUGGGCGUAAAGCGUGCGCAGGCGGUUUUGUAAGACAGGCGUGAAAUCCCCGGGCUUAACCUGGGAACUGCGCUUGUGACUGCAAGGCUAGAGUGCGGCAGAGGGGGGGUAGAAUUCCACGUGUAGCAGUGAAAUGCGUAGAGAUGUGGAGGAAUACCGAUGGCGAAAGCAGCCCCCUGGGUCGACACUGACGCUCAUGCACGAAAGCGUGGGGAGCAAAC
rnacentral:rRNA from 1 species